rnacentral:rRNA from 1 species
GAUGAACGCUGGCGGCGUGCCUAAUACAUGCAAGUCGAGCGAACGGACGAGAAGCUUGCUUCUCUGAUGUUAGCGGCGGACGGGUGAGUAACACGUGGAUAACCUACCUAUAAGACUGGGAUAACUUCGGGAAACCGUAGCUAAUACCGGAUAAUAUUUUGAACCGCAUGGUUCAAAAGUGAAAGACGGUCUUGCUGUCACUUAUAGAUGGAUCCGCGCUGCAUUAGCUAGUUGGUAAGGUAACGGCUUACCAAGGCAACGAUGCAUAGCCGACCUGAGAGGGUGAUCGGCCACACUGGAACUGAGACACGGUCCAGACUCCUACGGGAGGCAGCAGUAGGGAAUCUUCCGCAAUGGGCGAAAGCCUGACGGAGCAACGCCGCGUGAGUGAUGAAGGUCUUCGGAUCGUAAAACUCUGUUAUUAGGGAAGAACAUAUGUGUAAGUAACUGUGCACAUCUUGACGGUACCUAAUCAGAAAGCCACGGCUAACUACGUGCCAGCAGCCGCGGUAAUACGUAGGUGGCAAGCGUUAUCCGGAAUUAUUGGGCGUAAAGCGCGCGUAGGCGGUUUUUUAAGUCUGAUGUGAAAGCCCACGGCUCAACCGUGGAGGGUCAUUGGAAACUGGAAAACUUGAGUGCAGAAGAGGAAAGUGGAAUUCCAUGUGUAGCGGUGAAAUGCGCAGAGAUAUGGAGGAACACCAGUGGCGAAGGCGACUUUCUGGUCUGUAACUGACGCUGAUGUGCGAAAGCGUGGGGAUCAAACAGGAUUAGAUACCCUGGUAGCCCACGCCGUAAACGAUGAGUGCUAAGUGUUAGGGGGUUUCCGCCCCUUAGUGCUGCAGCUAACGCAUUAAGCACUCCGCCUGGGGAGUACGACCGCAAGGUUGAAACUCAAAGGAAUUGACGGGGACCCGCACAAGCGGUGGAGCAUGUGGUUUAAUUCGAAGCAACGCGAAGAACCUUACCAAAUCUUGACAUCCUUUGACAACUCUAGAGAUAGAGCCUUCCCCUUCGGGGGACAAAGUGACAGGUGGUGCAUGGUUGUCGUCAGCUCGUGUCGUGAGAUGUUGGGUUAAGUCCCGCAACGAGCGCAACCCUUAAGCUUAGUUGCCAUCAUUAAGUUGGGCACUCUAAGUUGACUGCCGGUGACAAACCGGAGGAAGGUGGGGAUGACGUCAAAUCAUCAUGCCCCUUAUGAUUUGGGCUACACACGUGCUACAAUGGACAAUACAAAGGGCAGCGAAACCGCGAGGUCAAGCAAAUCCCAUAAAGUUGUUCUCAGUUCGGAUUGUAGUCUGCAACUCGACUACAUGAAGCUGGAAUCGCUAGUAAUCGUAGAUCAGCAUGCUACGGUGAAUACGUUCCCGGGUCU